UAAUACAGAGACCUCAAGCGUUAUCCGGAAUCGUUGGGCGUAAAGCGUACCGAUAGGUGGUCUAACAAGCCAGAAGUGAAAUCUCCGAGCUCAACUCGGAAUCUGUCUUUUGGAACUGUUAGACUAGAGGGGCAAAGAGGAAGCUGGAACCAGCGGUGUAGUAGUGAAAUGCGUUGAUAUCGCUGGGAACACCAAUAGCGAAGGCGGGCUUCUGGGUGCCACCUGACACUGCUAAGACGAAAGCGUGGGGAGCGAAUGGGAUUAGAUACCCCAGUAGUCCACGCUGUAAACGAUGUACAUUAGGUGCUAAGAAGUAUCGACCCUUGUUAGUACCAAAGCUAACGCGUUAAAUGUACCGCCUGGGGAGUACGGCCGCAAGGCU
rnacentral:rRNA from 1 species